ACAAAUCCAUAUGCGUGUGACAGGGAGACCUGUCCGCGAAUAUUAAACCUGCCGGUUCUCCGCGAGGAGGGCUGGUUGGAAAUAAAUGUGUGUAGUGUUGACAGUGUGUGAGAUUUUUAAUUAUUGA
rnacentral:misc_RNA from 1 species